rnacentral:rRNA from 1 species
UACGGAGGGGACUAGCGUUGUUCGGAAUUACUGGGCGUAAAGGGCGCGUAGGCGGUUCGCUAAGUUGGAUGUGAAAACUCUGGGCUCAACCCAGAGCCUGCAUCCAAAACUGGCGGGCUAGAGUUCUGGAGGGGGUAGCGGAAUUCCUGGUGUAGCGGUGAAAUGCGUAGAUAUCAGGAGGAACACCGGUGGCGAAGGCGGCUACCUGGACAGAAACUGACGCUGAGGAGCGAAAGCAUGGGGAGCGAACAGG